CUGACAACAAGUCAAAAGCAAAGUUCCGAGACUCAAGACUGAGCGACCGAGAGAGAGGGUGGGAGAGAGAGAGAGAGAGAGAGAGAUCGUUGUGUUUGGUUGCCCAGAAAAACUGGGGAUUUGAUUAGCCAUUGCAAGGUUUUCAAGCUUACUCUCAACUUUUCCCUGAAACCUAAACAACUCAAUUUCAUUUCUUUUUCUACUUCCCAACUCAGUUGUCCAUUUUUGCAGGGAUAUUUCAAAGUUUCAACCUUUGCACUCCAACUGUUUGUGGUUUUGACUAACAGAGGUGACUAACAAACCCCAGUGGUCAAUUUGAUGCUAACACUUACAGAGUAGCUCCCAUGGAAGGUGAGAAACAGAAGGUGGGUAACAAUGAAGUUGUAGUCUCCAUUUUGGGUAUUGAAGAAACUUCAAGGAGAGACCAAGACAAUCAAAGUGGGAGUUCUAAAAGUUUCACAACACUGGAAUCUGGGUCAUCCUCUUUUCCAAAGAAUGCCCAAACAGGUUCUCCUAAUGCUGGAUUAACAGAGCUUCAAAUGUCCACACUUCCAAACUCUUCUUCUCCAGAGAUAACCAAAUCAUGCACAACACCAGAUAGGCCUCUCAAAAUCCCAGAUGAAAAUGUUACUCGACGAAGAUCAAUUCCACGGUCUGCGUAUUCAAAACCCAAAUCAAGAUUGGUGGAGCCUUAUUAUACCAAUGAUUCACAUUCGGUUGAAGAGAGCAGCCAACUGGUGCAUUCAAGCUCACCUUAUAGAAAUUCACCCAAAACCAAUGCUAGUACUCCUAAAGAGAAUGUAAAAACAACCCCAGUUACUCCAAAAACGCCGCUAUUGGCUUCGCCAGGAGGAGAGGAGGAGGAGGAUGAUGUCUAUAAGACUUCAACUCAUAGAGUUGAUAAAAGUUUGUGCAAGAAAUUGAACAUCAUGGCUUUACUUGAAUGGGUUAUGUUUAUGUGCAUAAUGGGUUUUUUAAUUGCUAGCUUAACUGUUCAAAAAUUUCAUGAUGCUGCAAUUUGGAGUUUGGAACUUUGGAAAUGGUGUGUGCUCAUAUUGGUGAUUUUUAGUGGUAGAUUGUUCACUGGAUGGUUUAUCAAUGUUCUUGUUUUCUUGAUUGAAAGGAACUUUUUGCUUAAGAAGAAGGUUCUGUAUUUUGUUCAUGGUUUGAGAGUAAGUGUUCGGGUUUUCAUUUGGUUGGGUUUGGUUCUUCUGGCUUGGUGUCUGUUGAUAAACCAUGGGGUCAAGCGAUCAAGGAAGACUAGAAGGAUUUUAAACUAUGUCACGUUGGCUCUUGCAUCAUGUCUUAUUGGGGCAGGAAUGUGGAUGGCGAAGACAUUUCUGGUAAAGCUAUUGGCUUCUUCCUUUCAUGUCACGAGAUUCUUUGACAGGAUUCAAGAAUCUAUAUUUCAGCAGUAUGUUUUUCAGACGCUUUCGGGGCCUCCAUUGAUGGAAUUUGCAGAAAGGGUUGGCAAUACAAUUAGUGGUCAAUUGAGUUUCAAGAAUAUGAAGAAAGGAAACCAUGUACAGAAAGAAGGCGUGAUUGACAUAGAGAAGCUUCAUAAAAUGAAACAAGAGAAGAUUUCAGCUUGGACCAUGAAAGGAUUGAUUACAGCGAUACGGGGUUCAGGGCUUUUUACGGUUUCAAAUGCACUCGAUGAGAGUGUUGAUGAUGAAGGUGUUGAGCAAAAAGAUAAGGAGAUUACUAGUGAGUUGGAAGCAAGGGAUGCUGCGUAUCGAAUAUUUAAAAAUGUUGCAAAGCCUGGCUGCAAGUAUAUUGAAGAGGAGGACCUCUUGCGUUUCUUGAAAAAGGACGAAGUGGAUAAUGUGCUCCCAAUGUUUCAGGGCGUAGCAGAAACAGGAAAGAUUAAGAAAUCGGCUUUACAAAAAUGGGUGGUAAAUGUCUACAAUGAACGUAAAUCACUGGCGCAUUCUCUAAACGACACUAAAACAGCCAUCGAGGAACUGAACAAAAUUUUAUCAGGAAUUAUACUUGUGGUGAUCAUUAUUGUGUGGUUACUUUUGAUGGGAUUUGCAACAACCCAAGUGAUCGUCUUCAUUUCAUCUCAGCUUUUACUUGUGGCAUUCAUGUUUGGAAACACUUGUAAGACUGUAUUCGAAGCCCUCAUCUUUGUAUUUGUGAUGCACCCAUUCGAUGUAGGUGAUCGUUGUGUCAUUGAUGGGGUACAGAUGGUCGUUGAAGAGAUGAACAUUUUGACAACAAUCUUCUUGAGAUAUGACAACGAAAAGAUAUUCUAUCCGAAUUCAGUUUUGGCUAGCAAACCAAUCAGCAAUUUUUAUCGAAGCCCAGAGAUGAGUGAUACCGUGGAGUUUGCUAUUGAUGUGUCGACUUCGGCUGCAAGUAUUGUAGCUCUAAAAGCCAAAAUAAAAGGGUACUUGGAGAGCAAACCUCAACACUGGCGUCCUAACCACAGCGUGCAAGUUAAGGAGAUUGAGGAUGUGAACAAGAUGAAAAUGGCACUAUUUGUUAAUCAUACCAUAAACUUUCAGAAUUAUGUGGAGAGGGGCAACCGAAGAUCUGACCUAGUUCUUGAGCUAAAGAAAAUCUUCGAGGAGCUUGGUAUCAAAUUUCAUCUUCUUCCUCAAGAAGUUCACCUCAGCUAUGUUGGGUCUUCAGCCCCAAUGUUUCCAAAUGCUUCGUGUUGAUGAUCAUUUUGCUAGCAUGAGAAUAUUCCUACUCUCCGACGAGUAUAGAUAAUGUUUGCCUGUCGAUUGAGUUUCCGAACAAACUGGUUGGCUAACGAAUGUAUGGAGAACCUGAUAGCUCAGUCAAGUGUCUGUAGAUGUACAAUGCAGGAGCUGGAAGGAUAGUUAUCUGUAAACAAGUUACGGAGGAGACAAGACGGGCAGUGAUUUUGCUUCAUCUUCUGGAGGAAAGAGUUCUUAAAGCUGGACUUCUAACCUGGAAAAUGGAUAAUGCCUUCUUGCUGCAGUACCAAAAUUUCAGCCUUCUGAACUAAACCAAGUCCUCAUCUUUGAUUUGCAAAUGUAUUGUACCAAAAAUAGUUCUAUACAAUAUCCUAAAACUUCUAGUUUAGGUUUAUUCAUUUGAUAAUUUGUAAUGUGGUAGUUUCUCAGUGCUCCAUUAUGUUUGGCAAAUUAUACUUAUGGUUGCUAUAAUUUAUGUCAUAUUAAUUUGAUCUUUAUA